UCUCAUUAAUUAUGCAGAUAGCUGGCGUUAGGACAAAGUGACACUGUCCUCCUGCUGACACAAUUUAUCGGACUGCUACAUUCUGCUCCUCCCAUCUGCAUCACGAGGCAACCUCUGGUGAUUCAAGGCGAUUGUGUCACAAUGCAAGCUGUAUUUCCUUCUUUUAUCAUAAUAAUGAAGCAGUAGUAGAAAGAGUAUAGCAUCGUGUGUUCUUUGGAUCUACUACAAUCAC
rnacentral:lncRNA from 1 species